rnacentral:lncRNA from 1 species
GGCAGCAUAAGUUAAUUCAAAGUCAGGAUGGGCAUGAGAGAGCUCACUGGGUUUACUCCCUGUGAUUGAUAACAAUUACCUGCCAUUUGCAGACUAUUUCUUGUUCCCUCCCUCUUUCUCAGUACUUCCUGGUACUGACAGGGACCACGUGACUGGUUCCAGCCAAUGCAACGCAAGUAGAAGUGAUGGGUCACUUCUGGGCUGAGUGUUUCCCUGGGGGUGCAAAUCCCUCCAGAGCUGUCUCUUUCUCUGUUACAGCAACCAGUUAUGUGCAAGAUGGUGGCCACUCUGACUACCCGGUAACAGCUGUGACUUACCAUUUCCCCCAACUACUGCCGGCUGGUCAGGGAAAGAAAUCAUGAGACUGCCGAGCCGCUUGCUCUACCCCGGGGAGCGACAGGAGAAGCAGGUGUGGCUGAAGAUGCAAAGGUCUGAGGUUCCUUUGCUGCGUGUCAACUCCUGGCCUCGCAGCUGUGAAUGCCCAGCUUUUUACCUUCUCCGUGUUAUGACGACAGGAACACUCACAUUUCACUUGCUCAAAAUAACGUGCAUGUCAUACGAAAAGUGAACUUGAUCUCUUGAACUUCCAGAAAACCCUCAUUUGCAGCGGGUGAGCUUUCGUUUUUGGAAUACAAAUACAAUUUAGGAUCCCUCUUUACACUCUGGCUCUGCGUCAUCCCGCAGCUUCUUCAACAGAUUUUCUUUUUGCCCAUGGCAAUGUGAAACAAAGUUUUGUUUUUUUGUUUUUUGUUUUUUUUUUUUUUUUGCUUCCCAAAAUGACAAUAUUGAGAACAUCUGGUUUGUAGCCAUCUUAAAGUUUGUUCUGCAAUGCCAUUAGGUUUAAACAUCCGUCAUUAAAUCAAGGGAUUGACAAAAUGCUCUGAGUUGAAUUGCAACAGAGGGUACUACAUAAUUAUCUUUUUUUUGGAAACAAAUUGAAAAAGAGUUAAUUGUCUCUUCUUGAAGAGUGUGGGUCCAAAUCACCAAAGGUAUCUGUUUUCUUUUCCAAAUGAGAAAAUGUAUUUAAUUUAUUCUACUAAUUUUCCAUUUUCUGUCCCACUGACUACUAUAUUUAAUUAUUCUAAAUCUCUCUCCACAUAAAGACAGUGAUGCGCUUCUGACAGUCAUUACAAAGAUAUUGUUUUGUAAAUGUCUUUGCCUAUUUGAAAAGCACUAAAAGUUUUCAGCAGUUUUGCCCCCCACUGGUUUCCUAGGCAGGCACGGAUCAAUAUGUCAUUUGAUAAAAUACAGUGCAGGGACACUACCCCAUCAGAGUCCGGGUUCUCCUGACGUCUCCUGGUGCCAGCAUCUUGCUCUGUUUUCACGUUCUCCGGGAAAGAAGAACUGAUCAAACAUAACGUGCACUGUGAUUAGCUGUUUAAGCUGAAAGUGAUAACAGAUGAAUAUCAUUAAGACUCCAGGACCUCUUAAAUCCAGAAAGAAAACUAAGGCUGGAUGAGUAAAGAGGCUGGCAGGUUGCCCUUCAGUACCCAGCUGAACAGCUCAUCCACUGUGAGGGAAGUCAUAUGCGAUUGAUUAAAUAUAAGCUCUCUAGACAGCCUGAUACCACUCCCAAAGCUUUUACAGUGAUGUCUUUCCCAAGUGGUGGAAUGAAGCAGCUUUUCUCUGCUUUAUUGGGAAAUGGGAAAACCCUGGUGUCUUCCUUUUAUUCCCUAAGUUCAAGCUGCUUUUAGUUAUCAUUUAUGUAAAGGAUUAGAUAAUGUGAGAAUAUUUAUUAUGCUUGAAAAACAUCAUUUUUAGUCAAAUUUUAAAGUUUCAAUUUUUAUUUUAAAGACGGGGGUACAUGUGCAGGUUAGUUACACGGGUAGAUUGCACCCAGAUAGUAAGCAUAGUUACCCAAGAGGUCGUUUUUCAACUCAUCCCUCCAAAAAAAUUUUUAAAAGAAUUUGCUUCUUAAGAAAUCUAGUAUAUAGAAACACUAUCUUUUCUGUAUGUAAUUAUUUUUAGUUUGGAUAAGAUACCUUUUUUUGAAUGGUUACUAAAUUAUUCAGAAUGCUAGAUCCCAAAGCACAAAGAAAGAGAAUAAAAAUUAAGCAAAAGCAGGGUCU